UUUGUAUUACGCGCGGAAAUUGUUACCAUUUUUGAGCCGAAAAUGGUAAAAAUUUCCGCACGUAAUACAAA
rnacentral:miRNA from 1 species